rnacentral:rRNA from 1 species
UGGGGAAUAUUGGACAAUGGGCGAAAGCCUGAUCCAGCCAUGCCGCGUGUGUGAAGAAGGUCUUCGGAUUGUAAAGCACUUUAAGUUGGGAGGAAGGGCAGUAAGCGAAUACCUUGCUGUUUUGACGUUACCGACAGAAUAAGCACCGGCUAACUCUGUGCCAGCAGCCGCGGUAAUACAGAGGGUGCAAGCGUUAAUCGGAAUUACUGGGCGUAAAGCGCGCGUAGGUGGUUCGUUAAGUUGAAUGUGAAAGCCCCGGGCUCAACCUGGGAACUGCAUCCAAAACUGGCGAGCUAGAGUAGGGAAGAGGGUGGUGGAAUUUCCUGUGUAGCGGGGAAAUGCGUAGAUAUAGGAAGGAACACCAGUGGCGAAGGCGACCACCUGGGCUCAUACUGACACUGAGUUGCGAAAGCGUGGGGAGCAAACAGG